GCCGAAGUGGUGGAAUUGGUAGACACGCUAGACUUAGGAUCUAGUGCCGCGAGGCGUGGAGGUUCAAGUCCUCUCUUCGGUA
rnacentral:tRNA from 1 species